rnacentral:lncRNA from 1 species
AGGUUACUCCUUGCUCCGGGAUGAGCGAUCCUUGCGUUGCCCGCCAAGAAUACGAGAAAUCUGCAAGCCUCUGCUGAAUGCUUGGUUGAAGAGCAUACGAGUCUGGAAUUCAGAAACAAAAGGAAACCAGGCCAAGAAUGCAACCGGGGUGAAUAGAAGCAGGCCCAUAACUAUCUCAAAGCCGCGAGCAAGAGUCCGAACCGAUGGCCAUAAACCAGCCUUGUGCACGACAGGCUUGCAAGCUUGUGCAAUCUGACAAGAGACGGGGAGCACAAAAUCGCGUUAGGAAAUUCAAGGACAAAGAGAUGCACAAGAGCACUGUCGCUAUAUCGGGAGUGGAUACAUAUAGUGAAUUAAAUUAAGGCAAGACGGGAGCAUUCACUCACCAGAAGCAUUCCCCAGCCAGUUGGCAUGAAAGCAAGAAUGCAGACGAGGAUAUCCUGCAGGGUCAUGUGAGGCAGCACAAUCAAAGUGACCAAAAUGGACACAAAAGUUAUGAAUAUCAGUCCCUUGAUCAGCCGGAACACAAGUUGGAAUUCUGCGCUGAACUUUCGCCUCCCA